AUUGAACGCUGGCGGCAGGCUUAACACAUGCAAGUCGAGCGAGCGGCGGACGUGUGAGUAAUGUCUGGGAAACUGCCUGAUGGAGGGGGAUAGCUACGGGAAACGGUAGUUAAUACCGCAUUCCAUCGGAUGUGCCCAGAUGGGAUUAGCUAGUAGGUGGGGUAAGGGCUCACCUAGGCGACGAACCCUAGCUGGUCUGAGAGGCUGACGAGCCACACUGGGACUGAGACACGCUCCAGACGCCCACGGGAGGCAGCAGGGGGGAAUAUUGCACAAUGGGCGAAAGCCUGAGGCAGCCAUGCGGCGUGUGUGAAGAAGGCCUUCGGGUUGUAAAGCACUUUCAGCGAGGAGGCGUUACUCGCAGAAGAAGCACCGGCUAACUCCGUGCCAGCAGCCGCGGUAAUAC
rnacentral:rRNA from 1 species